rnacentral:rRNA from 1 species
UUCCCAGACUCCUACGGGAGGCAGCAGUCGGGAAUAUUGCGCAAUGGAGGAAACUCUGACGCAGUGACGCCGCGUGCAGGAAGAAGGUUUUCGGAUUGUAAACUGCUUUAGACAGGGAAGAUACAAGACAGUACCUGUAAAAUAAGCUCCGGCUAACUACGUGCCAGCAGCCGCGGUAAUACGUAGGGAGCAAGCGUUAUCCGGAUUUAUUGGGUGUAAAGGGUGCGUAGACGGGAAGGCAAGUUAGUUGUGAAAUCCCUCGGCUUAACUGAGGAACUGCAACUAAAACUAUCUUUCUUGAGUGCUGGAGAGGAAAGUGGAAUUCCUGGUGUAGCGGUGAAAUGCGUAGAUAUCAGGAGGAACACCGGCGGCGAAGGCGGCUUACUGGACGGCAACUGACGUUGAGGCCCGAAAGCGUGGGGAGCGAACAGGAUUAGAUACCCCAGUA